rnacentral:rRNA from 1 species
UAAAUAUUUAAUUAUUAUUUUUUUUUGUUAUGAAAGUAAUCUUUUAUUUUAGUAAAUGAUAUUGAAAUUUUUUUUUUAAUUAUAAAUAAAUAGUAAAGUGAUUGAAAUUUGAAAUAAAUUUUAUUUUCAAGAAAGAAGAAUUUAUUUUUUGUACCUUGUGUAUCAGGGUUUAUUUAUUAAUAAUUAUUUAUUUAAUUUUCUCGAAUUAGAAAGAGCUAAUUAAUUAUUUAUUUAAUUGUAAAAUAAAUUUUUUAAAUAAUUUUUUUGUAAUGAAACGUUAUUCGUUUUCUAAUAUAUCUAGUUUUUUAAGAAAAGAAUUUAAUUCUAUUGUUUUUUUUUUAAUUUUAUUUUUUAAUCUUAAGAAUUUAACAUUAAACAUUUAAUGGGAUGAGCUUUUAAAUGUAAAUCUAAAAUUUUAUUUUAAUUGAUUAUUUGUACGAUUAAUAUUGUCGAUCUAUAUAAUAAUAUUAUAGUUAAUUCUCAUUUUAAUUUGAUUUAUAUUUCUAUUAGAUUUUAUAUUAAAAUAUUAACUUAAAUUUAUUUUGUUUAGUAAUAAUGAUUAAAUUAGUAAAUUUAUUUUGUUUAAAUUGUUAAUUUUGUUAGGUUAUUAAAAGGAAUUCGGCAAAUUUAUUUUUCGCCUGUUUAUUAAAAACAUGUCUUUUUGAUUAUAAUUUAAGGUUUAAUCUGCUCAAUGAGGAUUUAAAUUGCCGCGGUAUCUUGACCGUGCAAAGGUAGCAUAAUAAUUAGUUUUUUUAUUGAAAGCUGGAAUGAAGGAUUGGACGAGAAAAUUACUGUCUCUAAAUAAUUUAUUUUUGAAUUUAACUUUUAGGUCAAAAGGCCUAAAUUUAACUUAAAGACGAGAAGACCCUAUAGAGUUUAAUAUUUUUAUUAAUUAAUAGUUUUUGGUUAUUAUAUUUAUUAUUUAUUAAAAUUAUUUGGUUGGGGUGACUUAAAGAUUUAAUAAACUCUUUAUUUUAAAUCAUUGAUUUUUGAAUUUAUAAUCUAAUAAUUUUAAAUUUAAAAUAAAUUACCUUAGGGAUAACAGCGUAAUUUCUUUUUAAAGUUCUUAUUGAAAAAGAAGAUUGCGACCUCGAUGUUGGAUUAAAAUUUAUUUUAGGUGUAGAAGCUUAAAGAUUAGGUCUGUUCGACCUUUAAAAUUUUACAUGAUCUGAGUUUAAACCGGUGUGAGCCAGGUUGGUUUCUAUCUUAAUUUACUUAUUAUGUUUUAGUACGAAAGGACCAAACAUUUAAUAUAAUUUAUUUUUAUUUUGAAUAUUAAU